rnacentral:rRNA from 1 species
GAUAAACGCUGGCGGCGUGCCUAACACAUGCAAGUCGAACGCCCUGGAGCAAUUCAGGGAGUGGCGGACGGGUGAGGAACACGUGGGUGAUCUACCUUGAGGUGAGGAAUACCGGCGAGAAAUCGCCGACAAUACCGCAUACGUUCGUAAGAACAAAGUCGCAAGACGCCUGAAGAUGAGCCUGCGUCCGAUUAGCCAGUUGGUGGGGUAAUGGCCUACCAAAGCAGCGAUCGGUAGCUGGUCUGAGAGGACGAUCAGCCACACU